GUCCCAGUUCCUGUCCCAUUUCCUUACCAUGCCUUCUGCAGAACAAUGUGGCUCUUUGCGACAACUUGUGCUGAAAUCAGCACCAAAGUAGAGCAACAGAUUUUAGCCUUCAACCCUGAGUACAUGCUUGUGUCAGCCACGCCUCUGUCCAUCAAAGCCAACCACACUUCCCUGGACAACCCAGAAGGAGAGAACAUCACCUUCACGUUCAGCCCCACCAUACUGACUGGUGGCUGCUGUA